UCACCGCUCUAACUCUGCCCAGCACACGACCUCUCCUGCCUAAGCGUAAAUGAAACCCAGCUCCAACCCAGCCUUCUGCACUCCUUCACAAGGAGCUCUGGGACAGGUGUGCCCCAGCUCCUGUCAACCACCAGCCUUCUCUCUGCGACCCUCAAGCUACUUGGUCCUCAAGCGCGUGUGCCAGGCAACAGUUCAGAGCCAGCUGGAGCAGGGAGGACAGGAAGUUGACAGUCCUGCCUGCCAGUCCCCCACGAGGCUGGUGGCGCCUGUGUCGCUGACUUUCCUGCUCAGUUGCUGCAGACAUGGGGAGGGUUGCUUCCAUGGUUCCUGCCGUCCAGGGCACCACCAGGGCAGCCUCUGAGUGUUUGUUCCUGCAGAGUCCCCUGCGUGGGGGGUGAUCUGGCUCCUCUCCGGCUGCCUUUGAAAAUGGCAAUUACAGUGACAUCACAAAUAUUUGCUGACUGUUACCCUCCAGUAGGACUCCGGACUUGGCAAGGCCUCAGCCUGAGGGAACCUUGUAUCUCCAUGGCAUUUCCAUCUGGUGUAAGCUGAGGGAUGAAGGUAGCACAUGGAAGGGCCCUGGCCCCAGCUCCUGAAGAGGACCAGGGGUGGGCUGAAGCCACCUUCAUGGGCUUGCAAAUCGUGGGAAUAUAUCCACCAAGAAAACACAAGGACACAAGAGUCCAGCUCGCUUGCACCAGCGAGUUGAGCAGUACAGCACUGGGAGAUUCCUCACCCCUCUCCAUCUGAGUUCCCUGCCUGAAGAGCGGAUGUACAUGUCCUGUCUCCAGAGCUCCCACAAGUGUGGACACAUCAAGCAGCCUCACACCCAGCGGCUGAUCCAAAAUCACUAAAUCACUCCGCAGCACGCUCUUUUUCUUCCAGAACUAAUACUAAAAGUUAACAACAAGUUCGGAUUUCCUUUGAGUUCGUGGGAGGAUGAACAAAGACGGAGCAUAUGUCUGUUUCCUGAGAUUGGGAAACCGAGGCGUGAGAAUUGGAAGAAGCUUGUCCGAGGCCACACAUCUGGCAAGCAGGAGAGCCAUCGGGGAGCAUCCUGAGCCACCCCCUGGCCAUGGUUGUUUGGAGAACGGACGAGCUCUAGGAGCCUCAGCUGCUGCAUCUUCAUGAUGGGAGUAGCACCAUGGCUCAGAUCAACUUGGGAUCCAUUUUGACCAGAGAGGUGCCGUCAUCUGAUACUGACAAUAGAAGGUAAGAACAAGGCUUGGACCUUGCUGCCUCCAGCUUCUUGCAGUGAAACAGUUAACAGCC